rnacentral:rRNA from 1 species
AUACGGAGGAUUCAAGCGUUAUCCGGAUUUAUUGGGUUUAAAGGGUGCGUAGGCGGUUUGAUAAGUUAGAGGUGAAAUAUCGGGGCUUAACUCCGAAACUGCCUCUAAUACUGUUAGACUAGAGAAUAGUUGCGGUAGGCGGAAUGUAUGGUGUAGCGGUGAAAUGCUUAGAGAUCAUACAGAACACCGAUUGCGAAGGCAGCUUACCAAACUAUAUCUGACGUUGAGGCUCGAAAGUGUGGGGAGC